GAUGAACGCUGGCGGCGUGCCUAACACAUGCAAGUCGAGCGAACAGACCAGGAGUUUGCUCCUCUGACGUUAGCAGCGGACGGGAGAGUAACAUGUGGAUAACCUACCUCUCCGAAUGGGAUACUUUCAGGAGACAAGAGCUAAUACCGAAUAAUAUAUUGACCCGCAUUGUUCCAUCGUGAAAGUCGCUUUUGCUGUCACUAAUAGCUGACUCCGCGCAGCAUUAGCUAGUUGGUAAGGUAACGGAUUACCAAGGCUGCGAUGCGUAGACGACCUGAGAGGGUGGUCGCCCACACUGGAACUGAGACACGUCCCAGACUCCGACGGGAGGCAGCAGUAGGGAAUCUUACGCAAGGGGGGAAAGCCUGACGGAGCAACGCGGCGGGAGGGAUGAAGGUGUUCUGACGGGAAAGCGCUGUUGUUAGGGGAGAACAAAUGUGUAAGUAACCAUGCACGUCUUGACGGUACCGAAUCAGAAAGCCACGGCUAACUACGUG
rnacentral:rRNA from 1 species